UGGGGAAUAUUGGGCAAUGGAGGCAACUCUGACCCAGCAAUGCCGCGUGAGCGAUGAAGGCGUUUUGUUGUAAAGCUCUUUUCUUGGGAACGAACAAAUGACGGUACCCAAGGAAUAAGCCCCGGCUAACUACGUGCCAGCAGCCGCGGUAAUACGUAGGGGGCAAGCGUUGUCCGGAAUGACUGGGCGUAAAGGGUGUGUAGGUGGUUUGAUAAGUUAGAUGUGUAAUACCCAGGGCUUAACUCGGGUGCUGCAUCUAAAACUGUCAGACUUGAGUGCUGGAGAGGAUAGCGGAAUUCCUAGUGUAGCGGUGGAAUGCGUAGAUAUUAGGAGGAACAUCAGUGGCGAAGGCGGCUAUCUGGACAGUAACUGACACUGAGACACGAAAGCGUGGGGAGCA
rnacentral:rRNA from 1 species